rnacentral:rRNA from 1 species
UUUAUCGGAGAGUUUGAUCCUGGCUCAGGACGAACGCUGGCGGCGUGCCUAAUACAUGCAAGUCGAGCGGACAGAUGGGAGCUUGCUCCCUGAUGUUAGCGGCGGACGGGUGAGUAACACGUGGGUAACCUGCCUGUAAGACUGGGAUAACUCCGGGAAACCGGGGCUAAUACCGGAUGGUUGUCUGAACCGCAUGGUUCAGACAUAAAAGGUGGCUUCGGCUACCACUUACAGAUGGACCCGCGGCGCAUUAGCUAGUUGGUGAGGUAACGGCUCACCAAGGCGACGAUGCGUAGCCGACCUGAGAGGGUGAUCGGCCACACUGGGACUGAGACACGGCCCAGACUCCUACGGGAGGCAGCAGUAGGGAAUCUUCCGCAAUGGACGAAAGUCUGACGGAGCAACGCCGCGUGAGUGAUGAAGGUUUUCGGAUCGUAAAGCUCUGUUGUUAGGGAAGAACAAGUGCCGUUCAAAUAGGGCGGCACCUUGACGGUACCUAACCAGAAAGCCACGGCUAACUACGUGCCAGCAGCCGCGGUAAUACGUAGGUGGCAAGCGUUGUCCGGAAUUAUUGGGCGUAAAGGGCUCGCAGGCGGUUUCUUAAGUCUGAUGUGAAAGCCCCCGGCUCAACCGGGGAGGGUCAUUGGAAACUGGGGAACUUGAGUGCAGAAGAGGAGAGUGGAAUUCCACGUGUAGCGGUGAAAUGCGUAGAGAUGUGGAGGAACACCAGUGGCGAAGGCGACUCUCUGGUCUGUAACUGACGCUGAGGAGCGAAAGCGUGGGGAGCGAACAGGAUUAGAUACCCUGGUAGUCCACGCCGUAAACGAUGAGUGCUAAGUGUUAGGGGGUUUCCGCCCCUUAGUGCUGCAGCUAACGCAUUAAGCACUCCGCCUGGGGAGUACGGUCGCAAGACUGAAACUCAAAGGAAUUGACGGGGGCCCGCACAAGCGGUGGAGCAUGUGGUUUAAUUCGAAGCAACGCGAAGAACCUUACCAGGUCUUGACAUCCUCUGACAAUCCUAGAGAUAGGACGUCCCCUUCGGGGGCAGAGUGACAGGUGGUGCAUGGUUGUCGUCAGCUCGUGUCGUGAGAUGUUGGGUUAAGUCCCGCAACG